rnacentral:rRNA from 1 species
CAAUAGCGUAUAUUAAAGUUGUUGCGGUUAAAAAGCUCGUAGUUGGAUUUCUGCCGAGGACGACCGGUCCGCCCUCUGGGUGAGUAUCUGGCUCGGCCUGGGCAUCUUCUUGGAGAACGUAGCUGCACUUGACUGUGUGGUGCGGUAUCCAGGACUUUUACUUUGAGGAAAUUAGAGUGUUUCAAGCAGGCUUACGCCUUGAAUACAUUAGCAUGGAAUAAUAAGAUAGGACUUCGGUUCUAUUUUGUUGGUUUCUAGAGCUGAGGUAAUGAUUAAUAGGGAUAGUUGGGGGCAUUCGUAUUUAACUGUCAGAGGUGAAAUUCUCGGAUUUGUUAAAGACUAACUUAUGCGAAAGCAUUUGCCAAGGAUGUUUUCAUUAA